UGGAUUUUUGGCUGCGAGGUGAGAACACCACCCACACCCACAGAAGGCUUCGAGGAACCCCGGUUCACACCAGCUGGCUCUCACUCCGGUCAACUGCUGGUGGUGUCAGCUCUGAAAGUGGAACAGCCCACGGAACAGAAGAGAGAGCAGAGGAACGGAGGCGAACCGUGGGAAAAACACCUGCACUGCGAGAGGAAUGCUUAUCAACUCUGUCUCAGAAUGCAGACCUACAGUUACAUCACCUCAUCACAUGACCUCAUCCUUCACGUGAACUUUGGGAGCAAGAAUCAGGGGUAAUGACAUCACUGGCUGCUUCCUUCCCUACCCCUCAGUUGGACCUUCCCUGACCAAUGUAGUGAGGCCCUGGAAUGAAAUGACCUCAAGACAACAAAUACUCUAGCCAAAAUUACACCAAUCACUUCUGGAGAUGACUUGCAUAAUGUGCUCUGACGAAGGUACUGUUCCCGAAAACGUUGGCGAUACCCAAUAAAUCAUUGGAAGCGUAUAUAUUAUGCGACUUUAUUUAAAUGUACCUCUCGGUUGUCAGCACCUCUGACUAUUCGGAUGAGCAUCAACUGCUCUGCUUUUUAUAUAAAGUGCAUAAUGGGGAAAAAAA